UAAAUAUCGAACUGAACAGCCGCCCCCAACACCGUCAUCAGUCGCAUCCCCAACGUCGUCAUCCCCAGCUCUCACGCACCAAAGGUGCUGAUGGUCGGGCCAACCAAGAAAGCAAAGAGGAGCAUGCAUGGAGGAGAAGAAAACGAAGAUUUAUUGGUGGUUCCCAAAAAAUAUCAUGAUUUUCAUCCAAAUCCUGGGUUCUCCUCUACAAGGUUUCAAGAUUAUGGUUCUUCUCCGAUUAACUCAAUCAAGUACCAUGGGUGGCCAUGGAGUAUCCUUGUAGUACCGAAUCUCACCGGCAUGCAUGGGUGAAAAGUAGCACCCUAGUACUCACACUUAUACACACCUCUAGCUAUAAUCUCGUUUAAGUAUAUUUUAAAAAAUAACCUUGUGAUUAGAUGAUCUCCAUGAAGAUUGCGAACUAGUGGGGUUUAUGUGUGUUUUGUGUAGCGCUUCAUGUUGGAGAAAACCUAGGGUGUUACAGCACACUACUACUUUUCUUUUACAUAUAUAUAUCCGCUUUAUUUAAAAUAAUUUAUAUGUAUCGUAGAUUUGGUAUUGGGAGCGUAUCUUAAUGAUACAAUCUGACACCAUAUAUGACAAGCCAGUUUUCCUGUUGAUGGCACGAUGGGACAGGGAAUUAGCUUUACAAAGAGACAAAUAUAAUAUCUCUAAUAGUUAUGCUGUGGGGAAGGUAUUUUUAGUACUUACAUUGUUUGUAGAAAAAAAUUUAUAAUUUUUUUGUCUAAUCGAUUUACUUUUUAAUAAAUUCCAUCUUUGCAA